UACAGAGGGGGCAAGCGUUGUUCGGAAUUACUGGGCGUAAAGUGCGCGUAGGCGGCCCUCUAAGUCAGACGUGAAAUCCCUCGGCUCAACCGGGGAACUGCGUCUGAGACUGGAAGGCUUGAAUUCGGGAGAGGGAUGUGGAAUUCCAGGUGUAGCGGUGAAAUGCGUAGAUAUCUGGAGGAACACCGGUGGCGAAGGCGGCAUCCUGGACCGAGAUUGACGCUGAUGCGCGAAAGCCAGGGGAGCAAACGGG
rnacentral:rRNA from 1 species